UACGUAGGGGGCAAGCGUUGUCCGGAAUUAUUGGGCGUAAAGAGCGCGUAGGCGGUCCGAUAAGUCGGCUGUGAAAGUCAGGGGCUCAACCCUUGAAAGCCGGCCGAUACUGUCGGACUAGAGUCCGGAAGAGGCGAGUGGAAUUCCCGGUGUAGCGGUGAAAUGCGCAGAUAUCGGGAGGAACACCAGUGGCGAAGGCGGCUCACUGGUCCGGUACUGACGCUGAGGUGCGAAAGCGUGGGGAGCAAACAGGG
rnacentral:rRNA from 1 species